AUGGACCAAUAUGGACCAGUACAGCCCAGCACGAUCCCAGUACGGCCCAGUGCUGUGGGCUGCACCAUCCCCAUGCGGCUCAAUAAAGUCCAGUGGCACCAGGCGCGGUCUCCCUCUGUUCCCGUCCCGUCUCUUCGGGGCGGUUCCCAUCUCUCAGUCCCGGGACCCGUCGGUUCGUUCGAGCAGCGGAUCCGACCAACGGGACCCGAACCGGGACCAACGGGAUCCAAACCAGGACCCCGACCGGGAUCAACGGGAUCCGAACCGGGACCACAACCGGGACCAACAGGAUCCGAACCGGGACCCCGACCGGGAUCAAUGGGAUCCGAACCGGGACCCCGACCGGAACCAACGGGAUCCAAACCGGGACCCCGACCGGGAUCAACGGGAUCCGAACCGGGACCACCGGGAUCCGAACCGGGACCCCAACCGGAACCAACGGGAUCCAAACCGGGACCCCGACCGGGAUCAAUGGGAUCCGAACCGGGACCCCGACCGGGACCAACGGGAUCCAAACCGGGACCCCGACNACCAACGGGAUCCAAACCGGGACCCCGACCGGGAUCAAUGGGAUCCGAACCGGGACCCCGACCGGGACCAACGGGAUCCAAACCGGGACCCCGACCGGGAUCAAUGGGAUCCGAACCGGGACCCCGACCGGGAUCAAUGGGACCCGAACCGGGACCCCGACCGGGAUCAAUGGGAUCCGAACCGGGACCCCGACCGGGAUCAAUGGGACCCGAACCGGGACCCCGCCGUGCCCAGCGGACGCUGCUGUUGCUGUUGUCCCUAUUGGUGUCUCCGGUGUCUCCGUUGUCUCCGGUCCCGCGGUGCCCGUUGGGUUUCGGGCCGGUUCCGGGCGCCCCCGGUCGCUGCGGGGAUCGCGACGAGUGUCGAACGGCCGCCGUGUGUCAGCACAUGUGUCUGAACCACCACGGGGGAUUCGCCUGUCACUGCCGGCGGGGCUUCGUCCUGCAGCCCGACGGGGCCACGUGCCAACCGAACCGGCGGCCGAACCGGGACCACCGGGACCAUCAAUGGGAUCAAUGGGAUCAAUGGGAUCAAUGGGAACAACGGGAACAACGGGAGCAGCGGCGGCGCCGGCCGCAGCACAGGCAGCCACAGCCCGGCCGGGAUUCCAGCAGGGGGCACCGUCAGCACGAGCGGAACCGAUGGGACCCGAACCGGGAUCAGAACCGGAACCGAUGGGACCCGAACCAGGAUCCGAACCGGAACCGAUGGGACCCGAACCAGGAUCCGAACCGGGAUCAGAACCGGAACCGAUGGGACCCGAACCGGGAUCAGAACCGGAACCGAUGGGACCCGAACCGGGAUCAGAACCGGGAUCAGAACCGGGAUCAGAACCGGAACCACCAGGAUCCAAACUGGGACCCCAACCGGAGCCAAUGGGAUCCGAACCGGGAUCCAAACUGGGAUCCAAACCAGAACCGAUGGAAUCCGAACCGGAAUCAGAACUGGGAUCAGAACCGGAACCACCGGGAUCCAAACUGGGACACGAACCAGAGCCAAUGGGAUCCGAACCGGGAUCAGAACUGGGAUCAGAACCGGGAUCUGAACCGGGAUCCGAACCAGGACCACCGGGAUCCAAACUGGGACACGAACCGGAACCAAUGGGAUCCAAACCAGGAUCAGAACCGGGACCCCAACCGGAGCCAAUGGGACCCAAACUGGGAUCCCAACCAGAACCACCAGGACCCCAACCGGAACCGAUGGGAUCCAAACCGGGACCCCUACCAGAACCACCAGGAUCCAAACUGGGACCCCAACCAGGACCCCAUCCGGAACCACCAUGAUCCCAACCGGAGCCAAUGGGAUCCGAACCAGGACCCCAUCCGAGCUCAUUGGGAUCCCAACCGGAACCAGCAGGACCCAAAGUGGGAUCCCAGCCGAGCUCAUCCAAACCCCAAUGGGAGCCAAUGGGACCCCGACCAGGACCCCAACUGGGACCCCAAUGGGAGCCAAUGGGAGCCCGACCCGGAUUCCAGCCCACAUCACCACGAUCCCAACCGGGAUCCCAACCGGAACCAAUGGGACCCCAACCGGGACCCCAAUGGGAGCCAAUGGGACCCCAACCAAGACCCCAAUAGAAGCCAAUGGGACCCCAACCAGGACCCCAAUGGGAGCCAAUGGGACCCCAACCAGGACCCCAAUGGGAGCCAAUGGGACCCCAACCAGGACCCCAACCAGGACCCCAAUGGGAGCCAAUGGGACCCCAACCAGGACCCCAAUGGAAGCCAAUGGGACCCUAACCGGGACCCCAAUGGGAGCCAAUGGGACCCCAACCAGGACCCCAACCAGGACCCCAAUGGGAGCCAAUGGGAUUUGAGCUGGGACCCCAACCCUCAUCAUUGGGAUUCGGGCAUUAGGGCUUUGCACGAGGAUUCGCACGAGGAUUCACACGAGGAUUCACACGAGGAUUCACACGAGGAUUCACACGCGGGUUCGCACCCUCCCCCCCCGCCCCCCCCCACCGGCCCCUAUAGCAACGGAGACCCCGAAGGGUGGGACCCCAGCCCCUAUGGGGACCCCUAUAUGGACCCCUAUGGGGACCCCGAUGCUUAUGGGGACGCCUAUGGGGAGUCUCCCCCCCGCUAUGGGGCUGCGGGGUCUGACGUGGAGCCCUGGGAGCCGGACACCUAUGGGGACCCAUAUACAGACCCCUAUAGGGACGAGGAGCCCCAUAGGGAGCCCUGGGGGUCCUACGUGCCCCACUCGGGUCCCUAUGGGGCAGAGGACCCCGAGCCCGGCAGCCUCCGCAGGGGGAGGGACCCCCAGACCCGGCCCUGGGUGUCCUAUGGGGACUCAGCUGCAGACCCCUAUGGGGCUGAGGACCCCUAUGGGGCUGAGGACCCCUAUGAGGGGGGGGAAUCUCAGGCCGAGGGGGAGACUGAAGCCUUGGGAGGGCAGUGGGACCCCCACGGGGACCCCUAUGGGGCUGAGGACUCGUAUGGGGCUGAGCCCUAUGGGAAUGAGGACCCCCAGGUGGAGGCUGCAGACCCCUAUAGGUUUGGAGACCCCCAGAGCAACCCCAUAGAUACCCAUAGAGCCCUGGACCCCCAUAAUGAUCCUCCUGAACCCUAUAGAGCCCAGGACCCCGAGACUGACAACAGGGAGCCCUACGGGUUUAGGGACCCCCACCCUGAUCCCAUAAAGCCCUAUAGAGACCAGGACCCCCACCCUGAUCCAUAGAGCCCUAUAGAGACCGGGACCCCCACCCUGAUCCCAUAGAGCCCUAUAGAGACCGGUGACCCCAUCCUGACGCCAUAGAGCCCUCAUAGAGACCGGGUACCGCCCACCCUGAUCCCAUAGAGCGCCUAUAGAGACCGGACCGGCCCACCCUGAUCCCAUAGAGCCCUAUAGAGACGGCAGGACCUCCGCAUCCUGAUUACCAUAGAGCCCUAUAGAGACGCGGGACCCCCACCUGACCCCAUAGAGCCUACAGAAGACGCGGGACCUCCAUGCCUUGACUACCAUAAAGCCCUAUAGAGGACCGGGACCCCCACCCCUGAUCCCAUACGAGCCCGUAUAAGACGGGACCCCACCCUGAUCCCAUAGAGCCCUAUAGAGACCGGGACCCCCAUCCUGACCCCAUAGAGCCCUAUAGAGACCGGGACCCCCACCCUGAUCCCAUAAAUCCCUAUAGGUUUGGUGACCCCCGUACUGAUCCCAUAGACCCCUAUGGAGCCCAAGACCCCCAUUCUGGUCAUGUAGACCCCCAAAGUGACCCCACAGACCAUUAUACAGACCAGGACCCCCAAACUGAGCACAGGGACCCCCAAAGAUCCCAAGACCCCAGAAUGACCAGACCCUCCCCUAUAGGGACCCAUAGGGACCCCCAAACCGACCCCAUUGGGACACCCCAGGACCCCCGCAGUGCCCCUGCCCCCUCCAGGGACCCCCAACAUGGAGACCCCCCAGCUGCCCCCCAGACUGUCCCUACUGCCCCCCUGCCAGCCAGGGACCCCAAAACUGCCCCUAUUGCCCCCAAAACUGCCCC
rnacentral:lncRNA from 1 species